rnacentral:rRNA from 1 species
GGAUUCCCUAGUAACGGCGAGUGAAGAGGGAAAAGCCCAGCACCGAAGCCUGCGGCAGAUUUGCUGUUAGGCAAUGUGGUGUUUGGGUCGGCUAGUGGGACCACCACUCCACUCGAAGUCCAGCAUUGAGUAUGGUUACUGGAUUUGGCCCAGAGAGGGUGAAAGGCCCGUACGGGUGGAGUAUCAGACAUGUGAGGUGGUUCACCAGGUCGACCUUAGAGUCGGGUUGUUUGGGAAUGCAGCCCAAAGUGGGUGGUAAACUCCAUCCAAGGCUAAAUACAAGCACGAGUCCGAUAGCGAACAAGUACCGUGAGGGAAAGUUGAAAAGUACUCUGAAGAGAGAGUAAACAGUACGUGAAACCGCAUGCAGGUAAACGGGUGGCGUCAAGCUGCAAGCCCGGAGAAUUCAGCCGGCUAGGUUGUUGUGUAUGCGCCUGGCGCAUCCAUCAGUCAGAGUAUGAUUGGGUAGUCCACUGGUAAACAGUGGGCCUGUCCGCAAGGGCAGGAUAUGUGUACCGGGUGGGUGCCGGAGCAUGCUAUCCGUCUAUGGACUGUCUAGCCGGUGCACUUUCUCCGUGGCUAACACCACGACCGGUGGUAUUGCCAGUCUGCUGUGUCCAAGUCGCAUUUGGUAGGUCCUUGCGGCCAACCGAGUGCGAUCACAGGCAAACUCAGUAAACGGCGUGAGGGUGUUUCGGCACUUUCAUGUGUUAUCGGCUACUGGUUGUCAACGGGCCUGCUCUGUGUUUGUUGUAACCGACACGGGGUGGUCCGGUGGGGCAUGGUGGUAAGAAUAACUGUGCAAGGCACCGGGGUUAUCGGCCUCAAAUGCGUCCUGCGUCCACGUUACAAGUGUAGGUGCUGUGUCGCCGCUGCCUGCCGGUGCUGGGUGUGAUUGGCGUGUUGCCUGCGAAAAGUAGGCCCGCCAAUGGCUCGGUUCGAGGUGGGUAGUUGGUGGCGCGUUGUGUCGAUGGCGUAGGGCGUGGUGGGCCUCACAGUC